UACGUAGGGUGCGAGCGUUGUCCGGAAUUAUUGGGCGUAAAGGGCUCGUAGGCGGUUUGUCGCGUCGGGAGUGAAAAUCCAGGGCUUAACUCUGGACUGGCUUCCGAUACGGGCAGACUAGAGGUAUGCAGGGGAGAACGGAAUUCCUGGUGUAGCGGUGAAAUGCGCAGAUAUCAGGAGGAACACCAGUGGCGAAGGCGGUGCUCUGGGCCGGUACUGACGCUGAGGAGCGAAAGCGUGGGGAGCAAACAGG
rnacentral:rRNA from 1 species